GACGAACCGUCCUAACGUUGUUCGGAAUUACUGGGCGUAAAGAGCGCGUAGGCGGCCAGAUAAGUCCGGUGUGAAAGUCAAAGGCUCAACCUUUGAAUGCCGCUGGAAACUGUCUGGCUAGAGUCCGGGAGGGGCGAGUGGAAUUCCUGGUGUAGCGGUGAAAUGCGCAGAUAUCAGGAGGAACACCAAUGGCGAAGGCAGCUCGCUGGAACGGUACUGACGCUGAGGCGCGAAAGCGUGGGGAGCGAACAGG
rnacentral:rRNA from 1 species